CACGUAGGGUGCGAGCGUUGUCCGGAAUUAUUGGGCGUAAAGAGCUCGUAGGCGGUGUGUCGCGUCGGCCGUGAAAACCUGCAGCUUAACUGUGGGCUUGCGGUCGAUACGGGCAUCACUGGAGUUCGGCAGGGGAGACUGGAAUUCCUGGUGUAGCGGUGGAAUGCGCAGAUAUCAGGAGGAACACCGAUGGCGAAGGCAGGUCACUGGGCCGCAACUGACGCUGGAGGAAGCGGAAAGCAUGGGGAGCGAACAGG
rnacentral:rRNA from 1 species